GCUCAAAUUUGAAAUCUGGCGUGCUCAGUGCGUCCGAGUUGUAAUCUAUAGAGGCGUUUUCCGUGCCGGACUGUGUCUAAGUCCCUUGGAACAGGGUAUCAAAGAGGGUGAUAAUCCCGUACUUGACACAAUGACCGGUGCUCUGUGAUACGUCUUCUACGAGUCGAGUUGUUUGGGAAUGCAGCUCAAAAUGGGUGGUGAGUUCCAUCUAAAGCUAAAUAUUGGCGAGAGACCGAUAGCGAACAAGUACCGUGAGGGAAAGAUGAAAAGCACUUUGGAAAGAGAGUUAAACAGUACGUGAAAUUGUUGAAAGGGAAACGAUUGAAGUCAGUCGUGACUGAGAGGCUCAGCCGGUUCUGCCGGUGUAUUCCCCUCAGUCGGGUCAACAUCAGUUUUGUUCGGUGGAUAAGGGCAGCUGGAAGGUGGCACCUCCGGGUGUGUUAUAGCCAGCUGUCGCAUACAUCGAAUGAGACUGAGGAAUGCAGCUCGCCUUUAUGGCCGGGGUUCGCCCACGUCCGAGCUUAGGAUGUUGACAUAAUGGCUUUAAACGACCCGUCUUGAAACACGGAC
rnacentral:rRNA from 1 species